GUUUUUUUCCCCCCAGCCAUUUAACUUGUAUACAUUCUGUAGCGUGUAAAGCUGCAUGAGAUUUGGUAAGCUCUUCUCUGUUUGUUUAGGUUUCUUAUCUGAUGUAGACUGCUCAAACUUGCAUCAGAGCUUGCAUUUAAUUCAAUGGAAGUUUAAAACCAACCUUGUGUGGAAAUUUUGCUGUUGGUACUUUAUAUAAAUAGGCCACACGAGAGACUGUUUAUGUGCUGUUAUUAGAGGUCUGCUAGAACAGUGAAGUUUAUGUUGGGUUUGUAAAAUAAGAAAAAUAAAUUAAGAAAAAUAAGCUUAAGAAAAUAUUUAGUGCUUAAAUUUGUACAUUUCUACUGCAAAAUAAUGGCAGGAAAACUUAUUUCUAAUGAGUUGACCAUGUGGGCACCACACAAAAACACGCAGCAGUCCGACUGACAGAGAAAUGACUUAUGUGACCAGUGUAGCCCUAUUCUUGAAAUAAAUAACUCCUAUAAAAUGGUUCUUUGUAGUGAAUCAAAAACAAACAGCACAACCAUUGUAACCUAAUUCCCACCAAAAAUGACUCAUUUGAGAUGUUUUUUUUGUUUGUUUGUUUUUCAAGUGAAUCAAAAACAUGCAGUAUCACCAGUGUAGCCUGGCUGAUUCCACAAAAAGAUGACUCUUUUGAGCCAGUGCUUUUUAGUGAAUCAAAAACACAGCAUGACCAGUUUGUGAAUCAGGCUAGACUAUAUGUUUUCAAUUCAUCAAAAAUAAUUGAUUCAUUAGAAUCAUUUGUUGGGAAUUAGGAUACACAAAUGACUGUGAUCCGGUUCUUUUUGGUAAAUCAAAAACACCUGUGACCAAUGUAGCCCGAUUUCUGAAACAAACUACUUUAAUAAGAUGAUUUUUUUUUUUUGUUUUUUUGGUGAUUUAGAAACAAACAACACAACCAGUGUUGCCCUAUUCCUGAAACAAAUUACUCUUAUGAGCUGGAUCUUUUUGGUAAAUCAAAAACAGCGUGACCAGCAUAGUCUGAUUUACAAACAACAUGACUAGCAGUGCGAUUUACGUAAUCCGAUUACUUUUUUCAAUUAACUAGUAAAGUAAUGCAUUACUUUUUCAAAUAAAUAACACAAGUUACUUUGUUUUACAAUUUUUUUUUUUUUUUUUUCAUUGACACCUCUCCUGUCCCCAUGUUGAAAGAAAUCAGGAGUAAAGUGGCAUUGUGUGAGCUAGACUAAAUGUGAGAAUGCUUUUACUCAUCUCAUUUGCACAAAGAUUCAGAUUCAGUAUUCUUCAGAAUAAACAAAAACAGUGAAAUACAAACUCAGUAUAUUACGCAAACCUGCAGUAAUGAAAUGUUAAAUAACACAAAUAUACUUUAUGUAUUUAAUCUCACUUUAUUAUCCAAAGUCUUUGCUGCUGACAUUCGAUGAUCCAAUUCAACCAUACUAAGCAAAAAUGACUUUUUAGAUAAACAUUACAUUUAUAGAGUACCUCAGGGAUGACAUGUUUUUGUAGGCAAAACCCGAAAGCGAGUUAGCAUUUUAGGACUUCCGGUUCCAUCGCCCUAAAGUCUAUGGGUUUUUUUAAUGGGUUUUUGCUAAAUCGCCUGAAAUAAGGUCUGUGGUUAACAAAGCCUCUAAAUAUUUUCACGUUUUGAUCUAUGACAUAAAACACACCAGUUAUAACCCACUUGUGAUUUUUAUUUAAACCUUUAUUGUGUCUUAAAAACGGCUGUUGCUAACAAGUUGCUAAAAGGGACUACUUCCUUUGGCGGGGACUUUAGACGUCAUCAUGACAAACAGGAUAUUUGGACAGCAUUGCUCAUGAAAAAGUGGAUAAGUAUUCAUACACAGCGCAGAUCAUAAUCAGCGAGCAUGUUUUUAAAUAAAGUUUGAGGAAGCUGGGUGGUGGUGACGUUGAUCCACGACCAUGGUUUGUUUGAGCUGCGCCCUCUACUGUACAGGUGUGAAUUUGCAUGAGGCUUGUUCAUUUCACUUUUGGUGUGAAAGGGCCUUUACAUUUGCCAAAGAUAGAACUUUUUUUUUUUU